CUUAUGAUAGCUCAGACGGUAAAGAAUUUGCCUGCAAUGCAGGAGAUCCAGGUUUGAUUCCUGGGUCAGGAGA
rnacentral:tRNA from 1 species